rnacentral:tRNA from 3 species
GCCGACGUAGCUCAGUUGGUAGAGCAACUCCAUGGUAAGGAGUAGGUCCGCAGUUCAAAUCUGCGCGUCGGCUCCA